rnacentral:rRNA from 1 species
AGAGCGAACGCUGGCGGCAGGCCUAACACAUGCAAGUCGAGCGCCGUAGCAAUACGGAGCGGCAGACGGGAGAGUAACACGUGGGAACGUACCCUUUGGUUCGGAACAACCCAGGGAAACUUGGGCUAAUACCGAAUAAGCCCUUACGGGGAAAGAUUUAUCGCCAUAGGAGGGGCCCGCGUCGGAUUAGGUAGUUGGUGGGGUAACGGCCUACCAAGCCUUCGAUCCGUAGCUGGUCUGAGAGGAUGAUCAGCCACACUGGGACUGAGAUACGGCCCAGACUCCUACGGGAGGCAGCAGUGGGGAAUAUUGGACAAUGGGGGCAACCCUGAUCCAGCAAUGCCGCGUGGAUGAUGAAGGCCUUCGGGUUGUAAAGUCCUUUCGGCGGGGAAGAUGAUGACGGUACCGCAGAAGAAGCCCCGGCUAACUUCGUGCCAGCAGCCGC